GGGGGAUUAGCUCAAAUGGUAGAGCGCUCGCUUAGCAUGUGAGAGGUAGCAGGAUUGAUGCCCGCAUCCUCCA
rfam:Mus musculus chromosome 7, GRC primary reference assembly.